rnacentral:lncRNA from 1 species
GGAAAUAUCACUUUUUUGAAGGCGAACCAAGAAGUCUGUUUUGGGGUUGAUAAAUUUCUGACAGUUGCUCCCAGAGUAUUUUCAACUCAAAGUAUAAUUUCAUAAAGAGGCUUAUUAUGUUUUAAAUUGUCUGUCUGUAAAAUAUACUUUCAUGAAAUUUUGUUUUCUCGGAAUCUUCCUUUUUCCUUCUUGUAUGAAUCUAAUGAACUUGAAUUUCCAAAGUCAUUGAG